UGGGGAAUUUUGGACAAUGGGCGAAAGCCUGAUCCAGCAAUGCCGCGUGUGUGAAGAGGGCCUUCGGGUUGUAAAGCACUUUUGUCCGGAAAGAAAUCCUUGGCUCUAAUACAGUCGGGGGAUGACGGUACCGGAAGAAUAAGCACCGGCUAACUACGUGCCAGCAGCCGCGGUAAUACGUAGGGUGCAAGCGUUAAUCGGAAUUACUGGGCGUAAAGCGUGCGCAGGCGGUUUGCUAAGACCGAUGUGAAAUCCCCGGGCUCAACCUGGGAACUGCAUUGGUGACUGGCAGGCUAGAGUAUGGCAGAGGGGGGUAGAAUUCCACGUGUAGCAGUGAAAUGCGUAGAGAUGUGGAGGAAUACCGAUGGCGAAGGCAGCCCCCUGGGCCAAUACUGACGCUCAUGCACGAAAGCGUGGGGAGCAAACAGGAUUAGAUACCCUGGUAGUCCACGCCCUAAACGAUGUCAACUAGUUGUUGGGGAUUCAUUUCCUUAGUAACGUAGCUAACGCGUGAAGUUGACCGCCUGGGGAGUACGGUCGCAAGAUUAAAACUCAAAUGAAUUGACGGGGUCAUAGCUGUUUUCU
rnacentral:rRNA from 1 species